rnacentral:rRNA from 1 species
UACAGGGGGUGCAAACGUUGCUCGGAAUUAUUGGGCGUAAAGCGCGCGUAGGCGGCCGCUUAAGUCGGAUGUGAAAGCCCCUGGCUCAACUGGGGAAGUGCACCCGAAACUGAGUGGCUUGAGUACUAAAGAGGGUCGCGGAAUUCCCGGUGUAGAGGUGAAAUGCGUAGAUAUCAUUUGGAACGCCAAUGGUGAAAACAGGUAGCUGGGCUGUGCUGACACUGAGACACGAAAGCCAGGGGAGCAAACGGG